AAUCUGCUGAUUCUAAAAUUACUGAAACACAAAGAUGAUCGUCUUUAUUCUAACUACGCCACCACAAAAAACAAAAGUUACUGUUUUUAUCAAAAAUUUCAUCCGAGUGACGAAGUUGGAAAAUGUCCCAGAAAUGUAUAAUUAUUUUUUUCAUAUUCGCUUUGCUUGUCGGUAUUAUCUAUUCUGACAGCUGCGUCCCACCCCAUGAGCAAUGUAAUUAUUGGAAAACGGGAACAUGUUGUUAUGGAUAUACUUGCAAACCAGUAGGAUGGUUGAUACACGGUGAAUGUUAUGAAACCCAUCAUUGAUAUUGUAAUCAAAGUAAGAUCCAAAUAAAUUUUUGAUGAAUAAAUUUUAUUACCCUAAAUUAAA